UACGUAGGGUGCGAGCGUUAAUCGGAAUUACUGGGCGUAAAGCGUGCGCAGGCGGUUAUAUAAGACAGUUGUGAAAUCCCCGGGCUCAACCUGGGAAUUGCAUCUGUGACUGUAUAGCUAGAGUACGGUAGAGGGGAUGGAAUUCCGCGUGUAGCAGUGAAAUGCGUAGAUAUGCGGAGGAACACCGAUGGCGAAGGCAAUCCCCUGGACCUGGUACUGACGCUCAUGCACGAAAGCGUGGGGAGCAACAGG
rnacentral:rRNA from 1 species